rnacentral:lncRNA from 1 species
UCAAGUACUAACUGAAGCCCCAUGCACGGCCACUACCGGAUCAUCCAGGAGUGGCUGUAUAUAACAGUCAAGGCAUAAUAACGUGUGGAAAGUCCGAUUUUGAAGAUUUCUUUCCUUUUUCUUUUCAUUUUUAAAAGGAGAGGAUGAUGUCUUUGCAGCUGUACUGAAUGAUGGUUUGUAAUUGACUUGCGAUUUGGGUAUUCAUUUGC